GGGGUUGACUGGAUUUGACGGCGAGAUGAAAUGGUACGUAAGCACGCGGAGGCUCGUUGGUUCCCUCCUUAAUCUGAGUCAGCAGAAAAUUAAUUGGCAACAAUGAGUAUGCUCUCGCUGCUUAAUCGAAGUACAGUAGAUUACGAGCUUAAUUCCACUACCAGGUAGAGGAACGAGACGUCGCCCCGGGGAUGUUGUCCCGAAUCUUACGGAUCAGGCGGCGCAGGCAAAUCGGGAAUAGUCUCUGCAGGCCUCGAUGCUGGGAUGAAGUUUUAGAGGAUAAGGCUGUGAUUGGUGGCUUGGGGCUUGUCACAGCACGAAAAUGAAGUCCAAGAUAAGCGUGUAGAAAGCGUAUGGUUUCCUUGUGCGGACGAGGGUUCGACUCCCUCCAGCUCCACA
rnacentral:tmRNA from 1 species